ACAAGAAUCCGGGCCCCUCUGGCGAGGCCGCCGACGAAUGUCGGCAAACCUCGUGAUGUCGGAUGACCUGU
rfam:Bradyrhizobium japonicum TSDA 110 DNA, complete genome.